AGGACGAACGCUGGCGGCGUGCUUAACACAUGCAAGUCGAGCGGAGAAUAUAGCAAUAUAUCUUAGCGGCGGACGGGUGAGUAACGCGUGGGUAACCUGCCUUUUACUGGGGGAUAACACUGGGAAACUAGUGCUAAUACCGCAUAAAAUAGUGAAGUGGCAUCACUUUACUAUCAAAGGAGCAAUCCGGUAAAAGAUGGACCCGCGUCCGAUUAGCUAGUUGGAGGGGUAACGGCCCACCAAGGCGACGAUCGGUAGCCGAACUGAGAGGUUGAUCGGCCACAUUGGGACUGAGACACGGCCCAGACUCCUACGGGAGGCAGCAGUGGGGAAUAUUGCGCAAAUGGGGGAAACCCUGACGCAGCAACGCCGCGUGAAGGAUGAAGGUUUUCGGAUUGUAAACUUCUUUGAUUGGGGACGAUAAUGACGGUACCCAAAAAACAAGCCACGGCUAACUACGUGCCAGCAGCCGC
rnacentral:rRNA from 1 species